rnacentral:siRNA from 1 species
UAUCAAUUUGGAAAGUUGUGGAUG